rnacentral:rRNA from 1 species
UACUAAUAACGAGGAAUUCCAGGCGCUGUCAAAAUGGUGAGUCUAGUCGACGCACAGUGUUGUGUCGAGCGACACUAUAGGAAUUGCGGGGAUCUCCUAAAAGGUACGAGAUACGAAUCCGGGUUGUGAGAGCUUCCGGCUGCCCAGGUUAACUGCCUGGGGUAACGUAAAAAGUCUUCGUGCAUGAUUUUUUCUUCUCGAAGAAAAUUGAAAUGGGCAAUCC